rnacentral:lncRNA from 1 species
CCACUGUUCUCGGGGAACUGGGUACACUGGAGCUGCACAGACAGCUGUGAUCAAGGAGAUGCCAAGAAUGACCAAGACCAAUCAGUAAUGAUACUGAAUUUACUUUCCAAAUCUAAUGAAUCAGAAUUGCCAGGGGUGGUACCCGAUCAUCACACAAGCAUGUUUCAAAUCCUUCACUGACUCCAAAGAAAUGGAAACCCUAACUAAGACAUGGUCUUACUACGUCCUCCUGCCUCAACCUCUGAUGUGCUGGCAUUACAGACUCCUGGCGGCCUUCCCCCGCCACCCGCCGCACGCCCGGCCCGAGAACGAGCACCAGGUGGGCCGGCCUGGAGCCCUGCCCCUGAGCCCCCGCCCGAUGAGAAACACUCCGUCCCAAGGUCUCCGCCCCCAAGGUCAGCCAUCUGGACGCGGAGGGAGGGGGAAUUGAGUCUGUUGUACCAGACACCAGACCUUGAGAAUAUGCUGAUCUGGAAUGGCUCUGUGUCUCAUUUGAACCAUCCAAUAGAAAUGAUUCUGUAUUUCGCC